UGCAGCGGCAGUUCCACGACAAAAUUAAACAUGAACCAUACUCGCACCUUGGUUCGAAUACUAACUGGGCUUUUGGUCGUUUGCCAGACAGAUGCUCUGGUGCACUACUUCAAAAUGGAAGCAGGCGCAAGUAAAGCACUUCAAUCUGGUCAUUGCUCAUUCAGUUGGUUAUUUUGAUUGGUUUUUUUUUCAGAAGAAGGCUGCAAGGGUCCAGGUGGCGAUUUGAAAAUAGACGAAACGGCCAAGGACCCAAAAGUUUGCGGCGUCUUUGCAUGCCAGAACGAUAAAGGCGAUGCGCUCAUACACUAGCAAGUAUUAGCCAUAGGCACACACUUUGAACACUUAAUCACGGGCAUAAAAUGAUUAUGCAGCUGCCAAAGACCAGUUGGCUUUGCGGGCUGUGAUGGAAAUGGCGUUAAGACCACAGCGGACUGGCCCGAUUGCUGUUGGCUUUGCGUCAAGGAGGUGAACUGUGCCAAAAAGGAACAUGAAGCGACAACGGAGCCCAUUUAACUAUAAUUAAUAUGAGAAAUGAUUAAUGAUUAAUGAUUAAUGAUUAAUCAGCAGGGCCCAAUAAACGGGUAUCAUCUUA
rnacentral:lncRNA from 1 species